UUUUUAAACCUUCCUGGAGGAGCUUGCCAUUUAACCCGAUAACCCUCGUUAUACCUCACCAAUCUUCGUAACCACCAACUUGUAUACCAUCGUCGUCAGUCUACCUUCCAAAAGAAAGUUUACUUAAUUGAAUAUUCUUCCAAACGUCAGAUCGAGGUGCAGUCUAUAGAUUGGCAAUGAGUGAGCUACAAUAAUUAUACUAACCCCAUUAAAAUCAACUAUGGAAAAAUUAAUGAAAAAAAAAUUUAAAUCGAAUUCAGAAGUAAUGAAAAAAAGAAAAUUUUCAUGAAACUCAGCUCUAAAAUACGU
rnacentral:rRNA from 1 species